rnacentral:ncRNA from 2 species
CGCCGCAGCGACGCCACCGGUGCCCUAAUGGGCCCAGAGGGAAUCCGUUGAAGGACCAGUCGGUCCCCGAACCGGAGCUGCCCCCGCAACUGUAUCCGGCGAGCGCCCUGUCCACGAUGCCACUGGCCGCACGGCCGGGAAGGCGGGCGGGGGGCGAUGACCCGGAGAGCCAGGAGACCUGCCGGUGUGUGGUCGUUCCG